rnacentral:lncRNA from 14 species
GGGAGGGGAGAGGGGCGGGAGCGGGAGGCUUCAGCACUCUGGGCUCUCAUUUCAAAGCGCGCUCUCCCUUCCAGGUUGGGUCGGAACUGAACCCCUGAAAGCGGGUCCGCCUCCCGCCCUCGCGCCCGCCCGGAUCUGAGUCGCUGGCGGCGGUGGGCGGCAGAGCGACGGGGAGUCUGCUCUCACCCUGGAUGGAGCUGAACUUUGAGUGGCCAGAGGAGCGCAGUCGCCCGGGGAUCGCUGCACGCUGAGCUCUCUCCCCGAGACCGGGCGGCGGCUUUGGAUUUUGGGGGGGCGGGGACCAGCUGCGCGGCGGCACCAUGUUCCUAGCCACUCUGUACUUCGCGCUGCCACUCCUGGAUUUGCUGAUGUCCGCCGAGGUGAGUGGUGGAGACCGUCUGGACUGUGUGAAAGCCAGCGAUCAGUGCCUGAAGGAACAGAGCUGCAGCACCAAGUACCGCACACUAAGGCAGUGCGUGGCGGGCAAGGAAACCAACUUCAGCCUGACAUCCGGCCUUGAGGCCAAGGAUGAGUGCCGUAGCGCCAUGGAGGCCUUGAAGCAGAAGUCUCUGUACAACUGCCGCUGCAAGCGGGGCAUGAAGAAAGAGAAGAAUUGUCUGCGUAUCUACUGGAGCAUGUACCAGAGCCUGCAGGGAAAUGACCUCCUGGAAGAUUCCCCGUAUGAGCCGGUUAACAGCAGGUUGUCAGAUAUAUUCCGGGCAGUCCCGUUCAUAUCAGGUAAGCAGAUUUAUACUUUCCACUACGAUUCCUUUGUCGGCCUGACUCUGCUAGCUUGCCCUCUGGCGAGAGAUUUCUCAUUCUGUAUAGGUCGAGGGAGGUUCCUGGGAAAUCGGAAGUAAGGUGCUGAUAGUGAGGAGGUGGGCCGUAUAGCCAUGGAUAUCUGAGUGGAGAGCAGUUCUCAAUGAAGUUAAUGCGCUGUGGUGGUUUGGAAGAGCCUGGAGGGAGGUGACUGCAUUGACUUAAAAUAAUAAAAUAAAAUAUGAUUGGCUAGCUCUAGGCAGAGGGAGCUUCUGUCUAGGUGGCAAUCAGAUUCCUGUUGGCUGCACCUUGCAGUGUGUCUCUGUGGAGUGGAUCUGCUCCCAGGAUGCCAUUGCCUUCAAGAGGCAGUGGAGAUAGAUAGAUACCUUAACCUGUAGAGGGAUUGUGGGUAGACUAACUUGUUGCCUUGGGUUUAACAGCUGACACUGAUCUGAAACGAGGCGUUUGUUCACAUGUGUUCUCUACCUGAUUCAUUCUGAGCGAAUGUGAGCACCUCCGAGAGGAAACGCUCCCACCCAGUGGCCCUUUUGGCAUGUAGUCAUCACCCCAGCCUCGGCUUACUUGGGCUUUCCUUCCCGUUCUGCAUUCAGUUCGGAAGUGAACGGGAGUUUAAGAAAUAAGUUCCUUUCUCAUGGUGUUUGCGCUCAGACAGCCCACCUAUAAGCGGCAAGGCGGUAAUUCCUCUCGAGGAAAUACAGAUUCCAGACUGACACCGCCUUCAUUCAUUUACAGCUAAGGCAUUUUCUCAAGUACGUAUCACCCCCUACCAGUUACACGUGUCUUGGUGGUUGAACAUGAUGGUAGUGUUGGAUUUGAUUCUGAG